rnacentral:rRNA from 1 species
ACUCCUAGCGGGAGGCAGCAGUGGGGAAUUUUGGACAAUGGGCGAAAGCCUGAUCCAGCAAUGCCGCGUGUGUGAAGAAGGCCUUCGGGUUGUAAAGCACUUUUGUCCGGAAAGAAAUCCUUGGCUCUAAUACAGUCGGGGGAUGACGGUACCGGAAGAAUAAGCACCGGCUAACUACGUGCCAGCAGCCGCGGUAAUACGUAGGGUGCGAGCGUUAAUCGGAAUUACUGGGCGUAAAGCGUGCGCAGGCGGUUUGCUAAGACCGAUGUGAAAUCCCCGGGCUCAACCUGGGAACUGCAUUGGUGACUGGCAGGCUAGAGUAUGGCAGAGGGGGGUAGAAUUCCACGUGUAGCAGUGAAAUGCGUAGAGAUGUGGAGGAAUACCGAUGGCGAAGGCAGCCCCCUGGGCCAAUACUGACGCUCAUGCACGAAAGCGUGGGGAGCAAACAGGAUUAGAAACCCGGGUAGUCC